rnacentral:rRNA from 1 species
UGAAUACGAGACGCUAAGGCGUCGAAGUAGUGUAUGUCAUACUUCCAAGAAAAGCUUGCACUGUCAUAGAUAAAAAACGCCUGUACCAUAACCGACACAGGUGGGUAGGUAGAGUAUACUAAGGGGCGCGAGAUAACUCUCUCUAAGGAACUCGGCAAAAUAACUCCGUAACUUCGGGAGAAGGAGUGCCUUAUUCGUAAGGUUGCAAUAACAAGAUCCAAGCAACAGUUUAUCAAAAACACAGGUCUCCGCUAAGUCGUAAGACGAUGUAUGGGGGCUGACGCCUGCCCAGUGCCAGAAGGUCAAAGAAGUUGGUUAGCAAUUGCGAAGCUGAUAACUGAAGCCCUGGUGAACGGCGGCCGUAACGAUAACGGUCCUAAGGUAGCGAAAUUCCUUGUCGGGUAAGUUCCGACCCGCACGAAAGGCGUAAUGAUUUGGAUACUGUCUCGGAGAGGGGCUCGGUGAAAUAGACUUGUCUGUGAAGAUGCGGACUACCUGCACCAGGACAGAAAGACCCUAUGAAGCUUUACUGUAACUUGAAAUUGAAAUUGGACUUUAUUCGCGCAGUAUAGGUGGGAGGCGUUGAUUAUAAUCUUGUGGGAUUAUUGGAGCCAUCAGUGAGAUACCACUCUUGUAAUGUUAGAUUUCUAACUUUGAAUCAUUAUCUGGUCAAAGAACAGUUUCAGGCGGGCAGUUUGACUGGGGCGGUCGCCUCCUAAACGGUAACGGAGGCGUAGAAAGGUUUCCUCUGAACGGUUAGAAAUCGUAUCUAGAGUGUAAAGGCAUAAGGAAGCUUGACUGUGAGACCUACAAGUCGAGCAGGGACGAAAGUCGGUCUUAGUGAUCUGACGGUACUGAGUGGAAAGGCCGUCACUCAACGGAUAAAAGUUACUCUAGGAUAACAGGCUGAUCUCCCCCAAGAGUUCACAUCGACGGGGAGGUUUGGCACCUCGAUGUCGGCUCAUCGCAUCCUGGGGCGGUAGUACGUCCCAAGGGUUGGGCUGUUCGCCCAUGAAAGCGGUACGCGAGCUGGGUUCAGAACGUCGUGAGACAGUUCGGUCCAUAUCCGGUGUAGGCGUUAGAAUAUUGAGAGGAGCCUUCUUUAGUACGAGAGGACCGAGAAGGACAUACCUCUGGUGUACCAGUUAUCGUGCCAACGGUAAACGCUGGGUAGCUAUGUAUGGAGUGGAUAACCGCUGAAAGCAUCUAAGUGGGAAGCCCACCUCAAGAUAAGUAUUCUC